rnacentral:rRNA from 1 species
UACGUAGGGCGCGAGCGUUGUCCGGAAUUACUGGGCGUAAAGCGUGCGCAGGCGGUUUGCUAAGACAGGUGUGAAAUCCCCGGGCUUAACCUGGGAACUGCGCUUGUUACUGGCAAGCUGGAGUGUGGCAGAGGGGGGUGGAAUUCCACGUGUAGCAGUGAAAUGCGUAGAGAUGUGGAGGAACACCGAUGGCGAAGGCAGCCCCCUGGGCUAACACUGACGCUCAUGCACGAAAGCGUGGGGAGCAAACAGG